CCUACGGGAGGCAGCAGUAGGGAAUCUUCCACAAUGGACGAAAGUCUGAUGGAGCAACGCCGCGUGAGUGAAGAAGGGUUUCCGCUCGUAAAGCUCUGUUGGUAGUGAAGAAAGAUAGAGGUAGUAACUGCCCUUUAUUUGACGGUAAUUACUUAGAAAGUCCUGGCUCACUACGUGCCAGCAGCCGCGGUAAUACGUAGGUGGCAAGCGUUGUCCGGAUUUAUUUGGCGUAAAGCGAGUGCAGGCGGUUCAAUAAGUCUGAUGUGAAAGAUUUCGGCUCAACCGGAGAAUUGCAGCAGAAACUGAUGAACUUGAGUGCAGAAGAGGAGAGUGGAACGCGAUGUGUAGCGGUGGAAUGCGUAGAUAUAUGGAAGAACACCAGUGGCGAAGGCAGCUCUCUGGUCUGCAACUGACGCUGAGGCUCGAAAGCAUGGGUAGCGAACAGGAUUAGAUACCCCUGUAGUC
rnacentral:rRNA from 1 species